rnacentral:sRNA from 1 species
GAAUAAACCUGAUUGAAAUGGAAAGCCCGCAAUCCCGAUUCUUCAUCGGGUGAGGACUUGGAAUGGAAAGCAGGACUACCA